rnacentral:rRNA from 1 species
UACAGAGGUCUCAAGCGUUGUUCGGAUUCAUUGGGCGUAAAGGGUGCGUAGGUGGCUUGUUAAGUUGAAGGUGAAAUCUCGGGGCUCAACUCCGAAACUGCCUUCAAUACUGGCGAGCUCGAGGACUGUAGAGGAGAAUGGAAUUCACGGUGUAGCAGUGAAAUGCGUAGAUAUCGUGAGGAAGACCAGUGGCGAAAGCGAUUCUCUGGGCAGUUCCUGACACUGAGGCACGAAGGCCAGGGGAGCAAACGGG